GUAACCCCGCUAAUAGCCUGAGUCUGCAAGCUUUAUUCAUGAGAAUACUCUUUACUCAUGCGAGUACUCCCACUGGCUUCAAUGGACCCCUAAGUGCAUAGCUGACAGAGAGAGAAGUGAUGUACGGGAAUUAGAGCUUUUCAAGCUGAAUGCAUCUGAGAUGAGGACUGCAGACAAAGUGUAUCCAGACAUUCAGUGGCAUAUGCUGCCUUCCUAAGACCAACUUAUGAGAUCCUAAAAUGGAGCUAUAACAGCUGCUUUCUCACUAAAGCUAGAAGCCUCAGUCGUGGACCAGAACUCUGCUGUUCCAGACACUGGACAAACACAGAACAAAGGAUGGUCUCUGCCCCUGCUAUGCUCAGAUCUACUGGAGGAAAUAAAACA